GGUUCUAUAGUUUAACAGGUAAAACAACUGGCUGUUAACCGGCAGAUAGGAGUUCGAAUCUUCUUAGAACCG
rnacentral:tRNA from 1 species